UUGAAGAUGAUUAAAGAGAAGCGAGUCGGCAGAAUUUGCAAGUUUGCCGCGCGCAAACACAGCGCCGCCAGUUGAUAAUUUUGCCCGUUGUUGAUUUCACUUCGGUAUUACGUGACGCGUCAAAGUCGAAGGGCGACACAGCAGACAGUACGGAACCGGUAGAAUUUGGAAGCGAUCAAGCGAGCGAGCAAUGAGGCAGACCGAAGCGACUAUCUCGCGAGUUCGCCGCGAAUGAAAGCAGUAUAUUUCGUGAACGAGUUAACAUGAUCAGCGGCAUUCAAGCCGCCUUAAAAAAUGCCAUUGACGUGAUUGCCCCGCCGGCAACGCCGUUGCAGGACUUCACCUAUCACUGGAAGCAGUUGAUGAACUUUUAUGUGAGUCACUUAACCGACUGCAAAGUCCCUGUGCAAAAUACCAGUAUACCGCGCCACUUGGAUGUACUGCUAGAGAUCUUACUUGGGGAAGAAAAGGAGGAGAAUGAAACUGGACCGUGUCUUGAGUACCUUCUGCAGCACAAGUUGCUGGAUCUCUUGGCGACCUUGGCCAGUGCGGAGGCGCCGCCUGGCAUGCGAAUGGUUUGCCUGGCCUUCCUGAGAAAAUUGCUGGGCAGAUCCAAGUAUCCACUGCUGCAUCACGCAUCCAUUUAUUCUCCAGUACAGCGAUUAAUCGCACUUUGCAAUGGCAAUCCCCCAUCGCCGAUUGAAGCUGAAGAGGUACAAUUUCUGCUGACUAUUUGCUUUCUGGUAUGCAAGUACCCGCACGUCAGCAACAUCAUCAAUGAUGUUCCAAACACACAGACGGUUGGCAAUCCGGCAAAGAGAGACUGCGAGCGAACAGAGAUUCAAAAGGUGACGUACGUGCCAACGAGAAGAAGAAACAAGUUCAAUCCCUUGUUCGAACCUUUGGACACUCAAGCGAUUACACUGGUGAGCCCGAGUCUGUUCGAUCAGAGGAGAUCGCAUCGCACCGCCGCCUCCUUGCUAUCGCACGGCUCGUCCAGAAGAUCAAACGACUCUGUAUCCUCGAGAGAGGAGAGCGUGUCGUCGAGUCCUUUAGCUCAAAAAUCGGUCUGCGACUCACCAUCCAUAGUUACGAAGAACAAAGAACGGUGCGGGGACGACGAAGAAGAUAUUUUGGGAAACGAAAUCGACCAACACUUGCAAAAUUUGAGGGACUUGCGCUUGGAUAACGUUGACGGUAACGUUUACGACGACGCGAGUUAUACAACGGAUAAUAAUCUGAGCUUCAAGUCACCGCAAGUACCAGAAAAAUCCAAAUGUCUUCUAUUGGAUGCCCUGAUGAGCUAUUUAAACAGCGCGGACAACACCGUGAGGAUACGAGCAUGCGAGGGAAUCAUGGCUUUAGCUUCCCUGGACGAUCCCGCGUUUGCGCAUACCAUGGCCAAGAGCGAGUUGUCGUUGAUAGUGCCGCGUCGAUUGGAGACUCUGUUCAACGCGAUACCAGCACACGUGGACCACCUGGAGAUCUACUGCGUGGAUGUGACGUGGGGUCUGGAUUCACCGUUAUGGACCAAAGAAAGCAAAUUUUCUGGUUGCCGGCAGGUCGCGGCGUUCUUCAUGUGGUUCGACUACUGCGACCAGUUGAUCAGGGAGGCUCGAACGGAAGUCGCGGAAACGUUGGCGAGAAACAUCAGGCUAAUGUUCCUCGACGGAAUAGUGACGCCCGCGCUCGCCAAUCAUCAUGUCGUACUUAUCACCGCGCUUGUCGCCAAGUGCUUAAAGGAGAUCACCUCCGUCGUAUUGUGCACAGAGAUGAGUUACUGGCUGGUUGGACAAGACAGAGAGCCGGCGAUAUCGAACGUGUGGACAUCGCCGGUGUUGCAUCGACUCAUAGAGAACUGCUUUACGGACAGCAACGACCUCACGAUAGAGACGCUCAAGUUGUUCGAAGAAGCGAUAGACAAGAGAAACGAGCAUAUAUUGCACUGUCUGGUGCUGAUUUACCUUUCUACGCGAGUAUAUUACGAUAACACCGCUGCCGACAGCGCUAUCGCCUCGUGGAGCGAUGAGGAGGACGAAAGGGAAAAGGAGAAGAAGGGCUCAUUGGAUCUCUCUUACGAACAGAAUCACAGUCGUACUCUAGCACCGAGUAAUAUCCAUCGGGUUGUCAAUUGUUUUCUAUCAUUGAUGCCGCGAUACCUGCAAACGGACUCAAACGCAAACAACUACGAAAAGUACAUGUCGGCGUGGGAGCGACAGUACUCAUCGGUGCUCUCCGAUUGCGCUCUAAUGGCAUGGCCGCUGGAAGCAGUGAUGGUCGACGACACCGCCAGUUCCGAUUCUCGACCGGAAGCCGACCACUGCUCGGUUACCGCGGAUCGUUUCUACAUGGGACCGUUUCUCAGCAUGCUUUUUGACAAAGUCAGCAACAUGCCCAGACAGACGUAUGAGGUCAACUUGGAGGUUACGGGAUUGCUCUCCAGGCUAGCGCUACUGCCGCAUCCAUAUUUGCACGAGUUCCUGCUGAAUCCCUUACUACCGCUGAUACCCGGCACGAAGAGUCUGUUCCUAUGCCUACAGAGGGUCGUCAAGCAGCUCGUCGGCGAAAUACCGAAAACUCAGGAAAGCAAGGCAAGAUUGAAAGAAACGAGGAAGAGAUUGCUGAGUGACUGUUCGCAGGAGGAGUGAGUGGGAUUUAGAGGAUAUCAUUCUUGAUAUUUUGCAAACCCAUGUAAAAACGAUUAAGAAUAGGAAAAGAUGAGAUAAAACUCAUACCAGGAAGUAAAGGGGAGACUGAUAUUACAACAAAAGAAUCCAUAUUGCGAGGAAAAGGAGGACAUUUUAUACGAGAGUGCCAUUGUGACAGAGGAAUUUUGCAAAGAUCUCGCAGCUAUAGCGUAUAUGAAAUAUCACCAUUCUGUCUGAUAAGUUUCUGCAUAUGAGAGAAGCAUGUAAAUUAUUAAUGUUGAUAUAUCGUCGAAAGCGCGUACAAUUACAUCUGCUCGAUACUUUAAAUACAUAUGCUUAGGUAGUAAACUAUACUUGUGAUGAGACUUUGUAAGAUAUUAAAUAUUAUGCACAUACAUUAAAGAUUAUUACUAAUUAA